AAUUAUAUUUAAUCUGUAACUGUCACAUUAAAAUUUUAUCUUGUUAACCUGCGUUUCGUGCUGUUGAUAUAUUUCAAAUAUAUUACAAAAGUGAACACGAAAAUGGUUAUCAUACAACAAAUUUCGGCGCUUCUCGACUUCUUAGAGAGCCAGCCAGAGCUAGCGCUCGGCCAUUGCAGCCGCACAAGUGAAGGGCGCAGCUUCGCAAAGCGGCGUUGGGUGGAGUGCGCUCAGAUUUUAAAUUCAGUCGGGGCAGAUUGCCCCAAUAAAUCUCCCAUGGAAUGGCGAGCCGUAAGUAAUGAAAACUUGCACCGUCUAUGUUUGAUAUUUUUCUAACUAUGAUAUAAAGUCUAAACACUACUUUAAUGCUGUUCUUUUUUUUUAGUUUUAUAAUGAAUAUAAGUGCAAAUUGGUUAAAAAAAUUAAAUUAAAAAAGCGAGAACUGAGCGCUACAGGAUAUUAGACAGUUAUUGUGUCACAUCAGCUAGUGCAGAUAUGGUGCCUGGUAGUGACACCAAUAAUGUUGAUUCUGCAUAUAAUGCAGAAUCACAAGUAAUAAGCUUAGACCAUGAACCGUUGAUAGAGCAGAAUAUUAAUAAUUUUGAGUUAGAUGAAGAACAAACACCAUCCAUCAUUCGGACUCCGCCUUUAAAAAAAUCUAGCCAACAAUCAAGGAAACGUCGUCCAAGAUAUUACCCAACAGAAGAUAGAGCUUUAAAAGAUUCUCAAGCCAAACUCCUAGAAAUAGAGGCCAAGAAUGCCGAGGCCACUUUGGCACAUGCUCAGGCCACUAAUAACUUGGCUGCAGCCAUUGAUAGAUUAGGACAAGUUACCAAUGAAUCUUCCAGUAGGCUGGCUGCAGCCAUAGAAAAAAUUGGGGACAUGAUUGGCAUCUUUGCCUCAGCUUCAUCAAAGAAGGUUCUUUUUUUAUUUUGUUCAAUUAAACCCAAAAUGGCCAUUGGCCAUAUAUACUUGGGUCAGCGAGGUCGGAGAGAUUUAUUUUUAAAAACAAUUAGUGGUAAUGUAAAAGUUCUAAUUAUUUUUCCAGAAACGUAGGAAGAUCGUUUUGACAUCAGAUUCAGAGUCAGACUGAAGAAAAUAAAUCUUUUGUGUCAGUUGGUUGACAAGAGCCUGCUGCAGUGACCGACCUUCAAGAAGACCCUGAUUCACUCGUUGAUGUCUCUGUGAAUUGAGUCCUUCAAUAGAACUUUC